AUUAGGGCUUGAUUUCAGCUUCAGAGAAGUUUGACUGAACAUAUUUUGAGAGUUAAAGUCAUUCCAGUUAUUUCAUUAAAAAUGGAACCAAAACCCAAACCAAAUAAAUAUUUAUGGACAAAGAAUCCAGGUGACAUAUCUAGGAAACUUGCCAGCUUCAUGGGAACUGGAGUCAAAUGUAGCUGUAAUGGGAUCACGUUGACACUUUUAUCCCAAAUCGGGAGGGAAGCAGCUCUAUGGAGGAUACAUAACACACUGAGCUGAUUCGGGUUAGUGAGGGCCCAGACUGCUUAAUGUGGUCUUGAACUGCAGUCCCCAAUUCCCCCCCCCCCCAAAAAAAAUCAGAAGCAAACUGUAACUUUGAGUCCAUGUAAGCAGUUGAGCUUUUUCAGCUCUACACAACUGUCCCAUAUGGUACUCCAAACCCCUCUCCUGUUUUAAUAAUAACAGCAGUCAUGGGUGCAACAUAACUAGUGUUAUUCAUCACUUGGAGUUCCUAAAUGGAACUGGCCAUAGUUGCCUUGACAGUCAUCUCAUGCUAUCCAGGCUCAGGUGGCUCCCCAUCUCCUGUGCCACUACUGUCUUCAGCUGCGAAACACCAUCUCCUUAGGGCAGUCUGGCUCUCCCCACACAGUCACCUAAGUGAAUGGCAGACUGGCUGACCCCCUGAAGUGGCAUCAGCACUUUUCACUAUCCUCAGAAUGAUCCUUGACUUAUCUAUGGGUCAUAUAAAAAUCCAUAAUUCAAUCCCGAAAUCUGCCCUCAGUUUAUAUAUGUGUAUAUACAGUAGGGUUGUGUAAAUCUUCUUUUUAAAAUCAUUAGUCAUUUCUAAUUUGUAAGUUUUGAUAUACGCACCAAUAUAAAGAAAUGGGGGGGGGGAGGAUGCCCACACAAAAAAUUAAGAAUCAAAAUGUCCCCCAUAACUUUUUCAUUUGAAUUCUGUUCUCAUCAUGAGGAGAGGAAAGCAGCAGGGUGGGAUGAGCUGAGUGAGCUGGGAAAGAGACUGGGGGAGCAUAGAAUUCUGGGGAAUGUACUUUGAGAAGGCAAAGAGCCCUAUGACAGAGAAAUCAAAAGGCCCUGCCCCAAACUACAUUUCCCAGAAUUCUGUUCAGCAUCAGAAAGCCCCAAUUAGGAUAGGGCUUUCCUGUCAGGGAUUCCUCUUCUUCAGAAGAGGAAGGGGGGCAGGAAAGUGCUCAUGAAUCUGAGGGUGAGUUGGAGUCUGAGGAGGAGACUUUGCUAGUACCCUCAUUCCAGGAGAAACAGAGCAGAGGAAACAGAGCAGAGACAUCGUUCAGCUAGAUUAGCUGCCAGAAAUGCUGCUGAGUGAUUAGGAACUGCCCUAGCAGCUGUGUAGGGACCCAGGGCUAUAAAAGCAGAAGCAGGUGCAGCCAGCUCUUGCUGGUAACAAACUGAUUCUGAUGCCUUCACUCUGGCUGCCUGCUCCAAAUCUGCAUCUGGAUUUAUGCCUGUUUCUUUGUCUGAAUGUCCUAAGGCUGUUCUUGAAAGACAAAACAGGACAUUUCCAGCAAGAGAUCCAAUAAAUUGUUGAAUCUGCAAAGAGGAGGACUGACUGAUACUUCAAUACUAGUGCAAAGAUCACUGCAGAUGCAGACUGCAGCCAGGAAAUCAGAAGACGUCUACUUCUUGGGAGGAGAGCAAUGGCCAACCUCAAUAAAAUACUGAAAAGCAGAGACAUCACACUGGCAACGAAGGUCCGCAUAGUGAAAGCAAUGGUAUUCCCCAUAGUAACCUAUGGAUGCGAGAGCUGGACCAUAAGGAAGGCUGAGCAAAAGAAGAUAGACGCUUUUGAACUUUGGUGCUGGAGGAAAAUCCUGAGAGUGCCUUGGACCGCAAGAAGAUCCAACCAGUCCAUCCUCCAGGAAAUAAUGCCCGGCUGCUCACUGGAGGGAAGGAUAUUAGAGGCAAAGUUGAAGUAUUUUGGCCACAUCAUGAGAAAACAGGAAAGCUUGGAGAAGAUCAUGAUGCUGGGGGAAAUGGGAGGAAAAAGGAAGAGAGGACGACCAAGGGCGAGAUGGAUGGACGGUAUCCUUGAAGUGACUGGCUCGACCUUGAAGGACUGGCGUGGACUGGUCCAUGCGGUCACAAAGAGUCGAAAACGACUGAACGAGUGAGACGACAUGACUUUGGCUUCAUUUACACUGACCAUUACACUGCCACACUUCUAUUUUAAUGAUUGUAUAUUUGUAUAUUUUAAAUUGGGUACUGAUGCUUUUACGUUAAGCUGCUUUGAGUCCCCUUCGGGAGAGAGAGGCUGAGAUAUAAAUAUAAAUAUAAAUAUAAAUAUAAAUAUAAUAAUAAUAAUAAUAAGAAGAAGAAGAAGAAGAAGAAGUAUGGAUUGUCGAUGUUGCAAUCCCAGGUGACAGCAGGAUUGAAGAGAAACAAUUGGAAAAGCUGACACAAUAUGAGGAUUUAAAGAUCGAAUUGCAAAGACUCUGGCACAAGCCAGUCAAGGUGGUCCCAGUGGUGAUCACCACACUGAGUGCAGUGCCUAAAGACCUUGGCCUGCACUUAAACACAAUUGGCGCUGACAAAAUUACCAUCUGCCAGCUGCAGAAGGCCACCUUACUGGGAUCUGCACGCAUUAUUCACUUGGGAAGUGUCCGACAUGUGAUCCAAUACAACAGCUAGCAGAGUGUCUGCUGUGGACUCAUCUUGUUGUGAUAAUAAUAAUAAUAAUAAUAAUAAUAAUAAUAAUAAUAAUAAUAAUAAUAACAACAAUAAUCCAAAAGAUCUAAGCCGGCAUUUGGAAACAAUAGACAUUGACAAAAUUAUGAUCUACUAACUGCAAAAGGUCACCCUACUGGGAUCUGCGCGCAUCAACUGAAAAUACAUCACACAGUCCUAGACACUUGGGAAGUGUUUGACUUGUGAUUUUGUGAUAUGAAAUCCAGCAUACCUAUCUUGUUUGCUGUGUCAUGCAAUGUUGUUGUGUCAAUAAUAAUAAUAAAGCAUUUUCAUAAUGCAAUUUAGCUGCAUUGAACUGCAUUAUAUGGCAGUGUAUACUCAUAUAAUGAAGUCAAACUGCAUUAUGAAACUGCACUAUAUAGCAGUGUAGAUGGGGUCUUUGAAGCUUCAGAGGUCUGUUUGGGUGAAGUGGCCAUUUCUCAAGGGUGUUUAACCAAUUGAUUCUUGCACUAACCAGGGAUUGAACUAGAUGGCCCUUGUGUCCCUUUCAUCUUUACAGUUCUAUGCUUUAGCCUUCAGGUGGUUCUCAAAUCAACAUAUAGGUUUGUAAUUGAUUGAUUUUAUUGCUUUGGAAAAGCUUCCUAAACAGGUGUAGGGCUGGCAACUCAUAAGACUGGGAUGGAUGGACCUCUCCCACAAGGAUCUGAGGGGUCAACCACAGCAGGAGUCCUCCUUCAAAGUGUAUGCAAUUAUGGCUUUAUUCAGACGUCCAAGGUGACAAGCUCUUUGAUAGCACCCAUGUGAAGCUGGGUCCAUAAAACAAUAAACAUAAUAAGACAUAAUGUUUUAUAGCUGGUGGACUUGUUUUACAUUAUAUAAAAUUGUUUUAGCAUGGGCUUAGAAAGAGCCAUUUUAAAUGGUGCCCAGUCAAACUGGGUUUUGCUUUGUUGGUUGAAUUAUGAAGUCAAGAAAAGAGCUGUUGAAUACUGAAACAGGCAAGCCAGAAAUAGCAGUUAGGAGUUCUGCCAUUUCAGAUGGCAUCAGUUCAAAACAAAGGAAUCUUUUUUUAUGCCAUUUCCAGAAUAAUAAAAAGGGAGGGGGGAUUCGUAAUAAAGAUACAAGAAGUGAUAGAAGAAAAGGGCCUAAGGAUCCACAAUCAACCCCAUUGUCAUUUCUUUUAUAUACUGUUAAUGGAGGCAUUUUCCAAAGUGACAUCUCUUGGCUACUUGUCUCUUUCAGGCUCCAAGGACAGGCUUUGCUUCACCUUUCUUAAAGGCAUUAUUUGCUUAUUACAAUGGAAGGUGCAAAAGAGGCAGAAAAUAACUAGUAACCUUAGCGGAGGUUUAUUGCUAUUGGCUGUAGCAAGGGCUAUUUAUCUAAGUUGACCUGAGCUGAUUUAUUACAAGGUACGCUCAGUGCUUGAGGAAAAGCUCGUUCUGCAGAAGUUGCACUCCAGUCAGUGUUUAAUGUCUCCUUCACACACUAGCAGCAAUUUUAGCCUGUCUCUUGACAUUUGUAUUGAUUUGCAACUGAAGUGAAAUCUGCAAUAUUAGUAUUGUCACUGCCCUUGACUUGACUUAGCCUUUAUUCUCACUGUAGGUUUUGUUGCCGAUGAAGGCAGUUCUGACAAUUCUCAGGUGUGUGCUCGUGUAGACAAGUUUACAAUAUUACCCAGGUAAUCAGAUCAUGUAAAACAUGAUUUAGUGAAAAAGGGAAGUAAACGGGAGACUUAAGUCCAUGCUUAAAUGUUUCUUACAUUGAAACAAAAUAAAGAUGAGCAAAUAACUCUAA